ACUACCCCUAUUUAAUUUUUUAACACCUGUCGAUUUUAUUUGUUUUUCAGUCAUUUACCACUUCUAAAAUACUAGAAAUGACUCUUACGUUUUGAAGGUUACGUGGACUUUUCCUAUUACUCGUCAUACUGACGUGUCUCUACUUUUGAAAGUAUUUUGAAAUUGAAAUCUCUUCGAAUGCCUUGAAGACGUCUUCCUCUGUUAGUUUUCUGGAGUGGGGUGUGUUUGUGGAAAUUAUUUUUAAGGUAAAUAUUCUAAGAGAUAACAACAUUUUUAUUAGUUUUAGAUUGUUAGUGCAUAUAUGAUUGGCUGGCUUAGCUCCAGUUGUUAUUGUUUGGCUUAGCCCCAAAUUACAUAUAUGCAUUAUUUGAUCAAUGUCGGCUAAUUUAUGUUAUUUCAUUGAUUAUUAAGUUCAAUGAAUAAAGUUGUUUCUGGUUCCUUGAAGUGAUGCAAGACCAUAAAACUGCUUUUGUUUAAGCUUUGAACCAUAACUAUGGGAAGUUUCCUGAUGAAAGUAAGUAUUUAUUCUAACCUUUUCAUACAUAUUAUUGGCUGCUUGUCUAAAUUCCAAAAUCUAUGAACAUGGCCUUGACCCUCUCAGUGACCACGUUUAUUAAAUUGCAAAUUUUGUAAAGUUUCUUUAUGAUCACAAAUCUUUAGCAGUAGGUGCAAUUUAUGGAUUAUGCUCUAUUUAUUUUGCUAACUCUUUUGAUUGGUGUUAUCUUCAGGAUGUUGCAUGAGGAAAUGUUAAUUUUACAUGUCAAAUGAAUCAGAAAAGUUAUCUUUUGACCUCCAAAUAUGCACAUGACAACACAAAUUUCUUAUAUUAGGGCUUUAGAUGUUAAACUCGCCAAGAUGGUUGUUGUGAUUUAUCAUGUGCUAAGAAGGAUGUGGCUUUCUUUUGUAGUGCAGAGAAUGCCCUGAUUAUGAAUAUGUUUAGUCUGAGGAGUUGUGCUUGGUUGUUGCUUGGCGUUGGAUUUCUGAGAGAUGGGCAUGACUAACUAACAAACUCUUUCCUAGGAUGCAAAUUAUUCAUUAAACAGUGCUUGAGACAUGGAUGUUAUAUUGGUGGCCAUGAAGUUGAUCAAAUCAUUUAGCAGAAAGUUGGAUAUUGUUGUGUUUAAGCUUUGGUAUGACAAUAUACAGAUUAAAUAUGGAAUAUAUAUAUAUAUAUAUAUAUAUAUAUAUAUAUAUAUAUAUAUAGCCAUUUUUAUCUCGCCGUUUUUGCUUCUAGCAAAGUGGACAUAAUGCAGAAGACACUAAACAGAACACUGUUGGUAUGACAACAUUGCAAAGCAGGUGGCUGACGAUGUCAAACUCCAUCAUUUCAAAGAAUAAAGAAUAUCGUAUGAUCUACAAUUUUACUAAUUUCUUACUACAUAUCAAUGGGCAUUAGGAUAGAGGAUUUGGAGCAGAACAUCAAUGAACUCCGAGCAGAGAGAAUCUCAUUGGAGUUGAAGCCUGAAAUAGAAAAUCAUUAAAAAUGGCAACAAAAUGGUUCAUCGUAGAUCAGUGUUAAUGUUUUGGAUAUGGUUCAUUUCAAACUCCACAAGUUGAUGAGUUGUUUCCUUGCAUUAUGCAUUUCUUUUCAUUUGGUUCAAAUAGUUAUGAACAAAUUUGACUU